rnacentral:rRNA from 1 species
GUGAAUCAUCGAGUCUUUGAACGCACCUUGCGCUCCUUGGUAUUCCGAGGAGCAUGCCUGUUUGAGUGUCAUUAAAUUCUCAACCUCAUCAGUUUUGUUAUGAAGCUGUGUGAGGCUUGGAAGUGGGGGUUUGUGCAGGCUGCCUCAGUGCGGUCUGCUCCCCUGAAAUGUAUUAGCGAGUUCCAACUGGGCUCCGUCUAUUGGUGUGAUAAUUAUCUACGCCGUGGAUUGGGCUUAGACUUGCUUCUAACCGUCCGCAAGGACAAUCUUUUGACAAUUUGACCUCAAAUCAGGUAGGACUACCCGCUGAACUUAAGCAUAUCAAUAAGCGGAGGU